rfam:Brassica rapa chromosome A1, whole genome shotgun sequence.
UAAACGGGUUUCUUUAAAUCCAUCCAUACAAAAUAUAAGAUAAAU